AUGUCUUCCUCCUCAUCCCACACCAUGGCCAAUCCCCUCAACAACCAAAUCAUCGAGAAGCUUACCCGUGAAAACUUCCUUCUGUGGAAGACCCAACUCCUUCUCCAGAUACGUGGAGCUUCCCUUUUCGGGUAGCUAGAUGGAUCCAUUGUCGAGCCUAAGAAAACCAUCACCAGCACCGACAAAGAUGGCAAGCCUACAAGCAUGCCAAACCCGGCGCACGCGACCUGGGUCACCCAAUACCAGCAAGUGCUCGCCUACCUCCUGACUUCGAUCACGAGGGAGGUGCUGACGCAGAUGGUCGCCGUGGAGACGGAGCACGCGGCAUGGACCGCUCUAACAAACAUGUUUUCGUCGCACUCCCACUCCUGCAUCAACAACCUCCGGAUCUCCCUCUCCAACACCGAGAAGGGAACCCAGUCAGUCGUGGUCUACUUUGCCAAGAUGUGGUCAUUCGCUGAUGAGCUGGCGGCUGCCGGCAAACCACUUGGCGAAGAUGAACUGAUCUCAUACAUCCUGGCCGGCCUCGACCUGGAAUACAACCCCCUGGUAUCUUCUCUUGAUGCUCGUACCGAACCACUUACACUAGAUGCACUGUACUCCCAGAUGGCGAACUUUGAUCAGCGCGUC
rnacentral:rRNA from 1 species